rnacentral:tRNA from 1 species
CAAAAAAGUAAGCCCAAUGCGGGGCUCGAACCCGCGACAACCAGAUUAAGAGUCUGGUGCUCUACCGACUGAGCUAACCGGGCGGCGAGC